CCAUGCAUGUGUAAGUAUAAAUAUUCGACUUUGAAACUGCGAAUGGCUCAUUAUAUCAGUUAUAGUUUAUUUGAUGAACAAUACUACUUGGAUAACCGUAGUAAUUCUAGAGCUAAUACAUGAUAAAAUCCUCGACUUUGAAGAGGUGUAUUUAUUAGAAUGAGACCAAGAGACUUCGGUCUAUUUGUGAGUAUAAUAACUAAUCGUAUCGCAUGCUUAGGUAGCGAUAUGUCUUUAAGGUUUCGGCCUAUCAGGUUUGGAUGGAAGGGAUUGGACUACCUGGGCAGAA
rnacentral:rRNA from 1 species